AAUAGCAACGGUUGCUAGGCAGUAGUUUGAGGAGCAGGAAGCUGUACUGUAACUGGCUUUUACAGUAUUCAGUUCAUUUGUUUUUAUAAGCUGUAAUUGAAAUAACGGAACUGAAGACGACGCUGCAGUCAGGACGUCUCCUCACGUUCUAAUGGAUUCACUUCCUGGAUUUUACUACAGAGGAUUAUUCAGUUUAAUCAGCAUGUUCUCCUAAGGGUUCUUGGACAGGCAUCACGGAGCCGGGCUUCAGUCGUGCCUCCUCUUCAUGCGCUGUCUCUCCUCAAGGCACUAACGAGCAGUCUUCAGCUUCAUCGCCUAAUUAUUACGAGCAGGACGCUAGGCAUGAUCAAAGAAAUGAUUCAUUUGUAAGCGCUUAUCCCGAUCAGGGUCAUGGUGGAUCCGGAGCCUAUCCUGGGAUCGCCGGGUGUGAAGCAGGGAUACGUUCUUGAUGGGGACAAGCGAUGGUCCGGUCUUUCCGAAGCUCAUUUCUCAGGAUUUCUGAGGAACCACGAAGAAUCUUAAUAUAACAAGGUAGGUGGUGGAUCCUCCCCUUCUGUUCGGAGAUGGUUUGGUCCAGUUGAUCCAGUUUAUUCUUCUUUUUAAGCCAGACCCUGGCCAUUGUUGUCUGGAAAAGGACUGAUGAUACCUCUCAGAUGUAGUGAGUAGAUGAGUGAAGAAAUCGUCUUGCCCUACUUAAUAUUAGCGGACCGUUUCAGAACGUACCGAAAACCUUUUACAAUACAAUGGGGUUUGGAAAAUAAUCAAUGAAGGGGUGAAAAGGCAAACCACAGGUACUGUUACCACCCCAAUGGUGAUUCAAAUGAUUUUCCAUUACAUAACAGCAAGUUUGAAACAAGUUAGCUCCUGUUAAUGGUUGCGUUAGGUGCCGUCAUCAGUCGCUCCCUCAUCGACACUCUUUUUUGUUUUUUUCUCUCUUGAAGUUGCGGAGACACCACAAAAUACAAACUCCUCUAUGUUACAUGUUACACGCGCUGACACUGGAGACUCCUUCCAUAAAUGCUAAAUAAACAUCACUCUACAGAAAACAUCGCCAUGUAUUAUAGUGAUCACACAAAUUAAUGACACAUUUUUUUCCCAAUAAAACCUUCUGUAAAAUUUACGAGUGAAAUUAAAAUUUGAA